rnacentral:sRNA from 1 species
CACUCCAGGUCUGCAUCUAUCCACAGAAGUUACUGAGCACCUACUAUGUGCCAGCAAAUCCAGGCCUAGAGCUGCCAUUUCACUGUCAGGUCCUCAGCCCAGAGCAGGGGUCCAAGCUGGCUGGUGUUGUGUUUUGAGUUUUCUGAGCUCACUAGCUUCUUUCUUCCAGCUACCUCCUGGCUUUGUCUGCUCUGCCUUAAGCUUUCUGUGGCUUCCCUAGGAUCUCCUGCUCUGUCCUUGAGGGAGAUUCCUUCUGAUCUUUGGUUCAUUCUUUCCUUUGGAAUAGCCUCCACCUGCCAGAAUCUCUCAGUGUAGGCAGAGACAGGCAUGAGGGGAUAUGAGUGCAAUCCUGUAUUGGCCACGCAGAAGCAGGUACAAGACACAUGGAGAGGGUCAAUGUGGAAAAACAUAGGAGAAAGAAGAUUCCACAUUACCCUGACAGUAAGAAGGGGGUGGAGAGAAGAGCAAUGAAGCAGCAAGUAAUAGCCUGCUAUGUCCACAGGGAAAGACAAACCAUUUGUUCUGGCUCGGGUAUAGGGUGUGAGAUGGGUCAGAGCAAAGGCUAUAGUUAGGGAGCUGGAAGCCAGACCAAGGAGGGUCCUCUUAGCCAUGCUAGGUACCUGGGCUCUAUCAUGGUAAAUGAGGGGCCAUUGAAGGUCUUAUGCAGAGAAGCUCCUUGCUCAGAUCCCUGUUCUUGAAGGAUCACUCAGGCAGCCAGAGGCCAAUAUCCAUGGAGCAAGCUCCUGCUCUGCCAGCUGAGUGAUCUCACAUUUCCUCAUAUAAACCCAGACCAUCAGUCUUGAGUGUGGAAGGCCCUAUUGCUAUCAUUUUACAGAUGAGAAAACUGGGGCUUAGAGAGGAUGUACUUAACCAAGUGCAACAGAUGUACUUACCCAAGCUAAGCUGUGACAGAUAGAGAUUGUCAAACCAGAUUUGUCUUCAGGUCUUCUUUUUACCUCAGCAUACAUAGCUGUCUGUCAUUACUACCUCCCAGCUCUGGGUGACUCGGAUUUCCCCUCAUCCAGGAAUAAGAAAGGGGUGCUGGGUUUAGGGGACCAGGUCAGAGAUCUUAAGGAGUCUGUGAAAAGCUGAAAAACAGUAGUAAGGAUAAAGCCACCAUCUCCUUGCCCUCUUCUGCUGCCUCUGAACAGGAAGUCUUGGCCAAAAAGGUUCUCACUUCUCCCUGUUUCUCCUGGCCUCACCCCCUCCCUCCACUGCCCCAGGAUGGAUCACAGUGACUCCCAGUGGUUGGCAGACACUUGGCGUUCCACCUCUGGCUCUCGGGACCUCAGCAGCAGCAGCAGCCUCAGCAGUCGGCUGGGGGCGGAUGCCCGGGACCCACUAGACUGUCGUCGCUCCUUGCUCUCCUGGGACUCCCGAAGCCCCGGCGUGCCCCUGCUUCCAGACACCAGCACUUUUUAUGGCUCCCUCAUCGCUGAGCUGCCCUCCAGUACCCCAGCCAGGCCAAGUCCCCAGGUCCCAGCUGUCAGGCGCCUCCCACCCCAGCUGGCCCAGCUCUCCAGCCCCUGUUUCAGCUCAGACAGCCUCUGCAGCCGCAGGGGACUCUCUUCUCCCCGCUUGUCUCUGGCCCCUGCAGAGGCUUGGAAGGCCAAAAAGAAGCAGGAGCUGCAGCAUGCCAACAGUUCCCCACUGCUCCGGGGCAGCCACCCCUUGGAGCUCCGGGCCUGUGAGUUGGGAAAUAGAGGUUCCAAGAACCUUUCCCAAAGCCCAGGUGAGAGGGGGUCCCUGAAAGGGAAAUGAAGGGGUGAGAUAGGGUGUAGGGAUGCAGGGGCUUACCAGCCCAGGGCUCUCCCACGGGCUCAUCCUCCUUUCCCUGAGGAGGCUGAUGAGGGUUGGAUGUAGUAGUGGACAGGUAGCUAAGGGGGCUGGUGGGCAGGCCGGCAGGCUGAGCUCCAGAGCAGAUGGGGAUGCCACUGUUCUCACACCCAGGCUUCUCUUCCCCAGGAGCUGUGCCCCAAGCUCUGGUUGCCUGGCGGGCCCUGGGACCGAAACUCCUCAGCUCCUCAAAUGAGCUGGUUACUCAUCAUCUCCCUCCAGCACCCCUCUUUCCUCAUGAAACUCCCCCAACUCAGAGUCAACAGACCCAGUAAGAGGGCAUGGGGUCGGGAAGCAGGGCUGGGAGAGUGGGGGUGUGGGGAGUGUGUGCCGGGAUUGGACAGGCUGGGGAAGAGGGGAAAGGACUUGAAGGGCUGUAGUAACCACCGUGCCAUCACUCUCUCCCCCAAAUCAGGCCUCCGGUGGCACUACAGGCUCCCUCCUCCAUCCUGCUGCCAGCAGCCCCCAUCCCCAUCCUUAGCCCCUGCAGUCCCCCUAGCCCCCAGGCCUCUUCCCUCUCUGGCCCCAGCCCAGCUUCCAGUCGCCUGUCCAGCUCCUCACUGUCAUCCCUGGGGGAGGAUCAAGACAGCGUGCUGACCCCUGAGGAGGUAGCCCUGUGCUUGGAACUCAGUGAGGGUGAGGAGACUCCCAGGUGAGUAGCUUGAGAGAUAACCAAAGAACUACAGAAAAGCUGUGGGGGCAAGCGCCUCUCCACCCAUUCCGCCCUCCCUCAACUGGGGCUUUUCUGUUACUACAACCCUCAUUCCACCCAAACCAUUGCUGUCUCCCCUUUUGCCUCUCCCUAGGAACAGCGUCUCUCCCAUGCCAAGGGCUCCUUCACCCCCCACCACCUAUGGGUACAUCAGCGUCCCAACAGCCUCAGAGUUCACGGACAUGGGCAGGACUGGAGGAGGGGUGGGGCCCGAGGGGGGAGUCUUGCUGUGCCCACCUCGGCCCUGCCUCACCCCCACCCCCAGCGAGGGCUCCUUAGCCAAUGGUUGGGGCUCAGCCUCUGAGGACAAUGCCGCCAGCGCCAGAGCCAGCCUUGUCAGCUCCUCCGAUGGCUCCUUCCUCGCUGAUGCUCACUUUGCCCGGGCCCUGGCAGUGGCUGUGGAUAGCUUUGGUUUCGGUCUAGAGCCCAGGGAGGCAGACUGCGUCUUCAUAGAUGCCUCAUCACCUCCCUCCCCACGGGAUGAGAUCUUCCUGACCCCCAACCUCUCCCUGCCCCUGUGGGAGUGGAGGCCAGACUGGUUGGAAGACAUGGAGGUCAGCCACACCCAGCGGCUGGGAAGGGGGAUGCCUCCCUGGCCCCCUGACUCUCGGAUCUCUUCCCAGAGAAGUCAGCUCCACUGUCGUAUGCCCAAGGCUGGUGCUUCUCCUGUAGAUUACUCCUGAACCGUGUCCCUGAGACUUCCCAGACGGGAAUCAGAACCACUUCUCCUGUCCACCCACAAGACCUGGGCUGUGGUGUGUGGGUCUUGGCCUGUGUUUCUCUGCAGCUGGGGUCCACCUUCCCAAGCCUCCAGAGAGUUCUCCCUCCACGAUUGUGAAAACAAAUGAAAACAAAAUUAGAGCAAAGCUGACCUGGAGCCCUCAGGGAGCAAAACAUCAUCUCCACCUGACUCCUAGCCACUGCUUUCUCCUCUGUGCCAUCCACUCCCACCACCAGGUCGUUUUGGCCUGAGGAGCAGCCCUGCCUGCUGCUCUCCCCCCACCAUUUGGAUCACAGGAAGUGGAGGAGCCAGAGGUGCCUUUGUGGAGGACAGCAGUGGCUGCUGGGAGAGGGCUGUGGAGGAAGGAGCUUCUCGGAGCCCCCUCUCAGCCUUACCUGGGCCCCUCCUCUAGAGAAGAGCUCAACUCUCUCCCAACCUCACCAUGGAAAGAAAAUAAUUAUGAAUGCCACUGAGGCACUGAGGCCCUACCUCAUGCCAAACAAAGGGUUCAAGGCUGGGUCUAGCGAGGAUGCUGAAGGAAGGGAGGUAUGAGACCGUAGGUCAAAAGCACCAUCCUCGUACUGUUGUCACUAUGAGCUUAAGAAAUUUGAUACCAUAAAAUGGUAAAGACUUGG